AAUGGGCGAAAGCCUGAUCCAGCCAUUCCGCGUGAGUGAAGAAGGCCUUCGGGUUGUAAAGCUCUUUCAGCAGGAACGAAACGGUCUUUUCUAAUAAAGAAGGCUAAUGACGGUACCUGAAGAAGAAGCACCGGCUAACUACGUGCCAGCAGCCGCGGUAAUACGUAGGGUGCGAGCGUUAAUCGGAAUUACUGGGCGUAAAGCGUGCGCAGGCGGUUCUAUAAGACAGAUGUGAAAUCCCCGGGCUUAACCUGGGAACUGCGUUUGUGACUGUAGGACUGGAGUGUAGCAGAGGGGGGUGGAAUUCCACGUGUAGCAGUGAAAUGCGUAGAUAUGUGGAGGAACACCGAUGGCGAAGGCAGCCCCCUGGGUUAACACUGACGCUCAUGCACGAAAGCGUGGGGAGCAAA
rnacentral:rRNA from 1 species